rnacentral:rRNA from 1 species
UACGUAGGUGGCAAGCGUUGUCCGGAUUUAUUGGGCGUAAAGAGCGUGUAGGCGGCCAGAUAGGUCCGUUGUGAAAACUCGAGGCUCAACCUCGAGACGCCGAUGGAAACCAUCUGGCUAGAGUCCGGAAGAGGAGAGUGGAAUUCCCGGUGUAGCGGUGAAAUGCGCAGAUAUCGGGAAGAACACCCGUGGCUAAGGCGGCUCUCUAGUACGGUACUGACGCUGAGACGCGAAAGCGUGGGGAGCGAACAGG